rnacentral:rRNA from 1 species
UAGGGAAUCUUCCACAAUGGGCGCAAGCCUGAUGGAGCAACACCGCGUGAGUGAAGAAGGGUUUCGGCUCGUAAAGCUCUGUUGUUAAAGAAGAACGUGGGUAAGAGUAACUGUUUACCCAGUGAUGGUAUUUAACCAGAAAGUCACGGCUAACUACGUACCAG